rnacentral:lncRNA from 1 species
AUUUGUUUUGAUCCAAAGGGGGGCACAGGGAAUGACCGUGGGGCGGGUGUUUACGCAUUGUAGGUCUUCUCGCUUUUUUGCUUUUACUUUCCAUUGGUGUCCAUACUACAUAAAUCGAGCAGCAGUCCUGACCCAGACACAGCUCAACCUAAGACGACUGCGACGCUCCACCGAAGACCUACUGAGUUAUUAAAACUUGUGACACUCUAAAAUGGCACUUUCCAACCAUGGACAUGAAGGUACCCAUGCUGAAGCUGGAGUAUAUGCAGAAGCUCCUGGAAAGGUUGGAGCCUUUGCAGGAGCAGGAGUUGGAGGAACUCAUGCUGAACUCAAUCUUGAAGGCCCAAAUGCCUCAGCUGGUGCUGAAAUCGGUGUGACCGGAGUUGGAGCAAUGGCUCGAGCUGAAGUUGGCAGUGCAUCAGUUCAAGCCGGGCCAAUUGGUGUGAAAGUGGGUCUUGGAGUUGACACGGGUGCAUCUGUUGGUGCGGAUGGGGUGGAGCUCAAAGUCCUGGGAACUGGAUUCACAAUUGGUCAAAAACUAGUGUAUCUGUUCUGGGUUCAGAAGUGUCAUGUUCAGUCAUGUGAUCAGACAGAAGCAGGAGUUGGACGAGCUUUUGCUGAAUUCAGUGUUUUUGAUGUAGAAGCCAAAGGUCUGAGGUCAGUGUGACUGGACUGGUGCUGGAGCAAUGGCGCGGGCCGAAAUUGUCAAUGCUUCUUCUAAAGCCGGUCUAUUUGGUGUGAAAAUGGGGCUUGGAGUUGACACGGGUGUCAUGUUCCAUCAUGUAAUCAGAUAGCUAUUAAUUACCUUUGAAUAUCUAUAUGUAACAUUUUCAACUGAAUCAUUAAAACAUCCUUUUUUAACUUUUUAGUUUUAAUGCAGAAUUAGUAUUGUUGAUGAGCUAUAAAUAUACAGAGUUAUACUUUAAAAAUAUUAAAACAAUGUUCGAUUUUAGACUUAUUUGUAUUAUUAUUUUUCAUAUUUGUAUGUGAUUAUGCAGGUGUGUUUAAUUAGAUCACACCAGGACCAGUUUGUAACCAACCUAUUGGAAGACUUCAGAUGACGCCAACCUUGGAUCAACAUACAAAACUGUCACGUGUUAUCCUUAUAUUGUAAUCUUUAUAAACACAAGUAUUUUUAUCUUACACAUUUGUUGUGUCUGUUUGACUGAAUACAUGACAUUAACUAACCACAUUAUAUUAUAUACAUGAUGUUAAUUUACCACAUCAUAUGUUAUAUAAGGUAUUGCCAUAUGGACAUUACUUAUUGCUGAUAACAGAAUACUUCCUAACUAUAAUAUUGAAACAACACAUUUUCUGCUUUGAAACAAUAUGUAUUGUGAAAUAAUAAACUUAAAUUUAAUAAUAAACUUUUCUCUUCUGUAUUAUCAGUCUCAUCAUAUAACUCUUGUAAUGGGAACUUUUGGGAGACUUUGGACUUUUGCAUCAGUCCUUUUCCAUUCAUAAAUGCUCAUGCUGUGCUGGACUGGCCAGCUGGACCAUAUCUGAAGAAUAUUUUAAGCAU